UCCUCCUUACAGAGGCAGUUUGUUCCGAGUCCCCGACAUUACUCGCUGGUAACAGAACAUGAGGGUUGCGCUCGUUGCGGGACUUAACCCAACAUUUCACAACACGAGCUGACGACAGCCAUGCACCACCUGUGAUACACCUUCGAAAGCGACUGCUUUUCGGCAGCUUGCAGUAUCAUGUCAAGCCCUGGUAAGGUUCUUCGCGUUGCAUCGAAUUAAGCCACAUGCUCCACCGCUUGUGCGGGCCCCCGCCAAUUCCUUUGAGUUUCAACCUUGCGGCCGUAGUCCCCAGGCGGUUCACUUAAUGCGUUAGCUGCGGCACCGAGAAACCCCGACACCUAGUGAACAUCGUUUACGGCUAGGACUAC
rnacentral:misc_RNA from 1 species